rnacentral:tRNA from 1 species
GCCUGGGUGGCUCAGUCGGUUGAGCGUCCAACUUCAGCUCAGGUCAUGAUCUCGCAGUUCGUGGGUUUGAGCCCCACAUCGGGCU